AAGUCGUAACAAGGUUUCCGUAGGUGAACCUGCGGAAGGAUCAUUAAUGAAUUGUCAAGGGGGGGGGUUGUUGCUGGCCUUUCAUCUGAUAAGCAUGUGCACGCCCCCUUUUUACAACCAUCCACACCUGUGCACCCUCUGUAGUUCCAAAGUGGGAGAGCCCAUAAGGCUUUCUCAACCUGGCACUAUGUCUCUUUACAAACGCUUUAUGUAUAGAGUGUCGGCUCAGCGUAUAUAAACGCAGAAAUAUAAAACAACUUUCAGCAACGGAUCUCUUGGCUCUC
rnacentral:misc_RNA from 1 species